UGAUAAGAAGAGGACUCAAACCUCUGUUGAUGGGGCUACAACCCACCGCCUAA
rnacentral:tRNA from 1 species